rnacentral:tRNA from 1 species
GGCUGAGUGGCUCAGUGGGUUAAGUAUCUGACUUCAGUUCAGGUCAUAAUCUCGUGGUUCGUGGGUUCAAGCCCCAUAUCAGGCG